GGAUAAUAGUCAAAAAUGACAACCAAUAGAUCUGCCAUAAUGCCGGAAAAGUCAAGUGAGAUCAUCCAGACGGCGGAUUUGAAUUUAAUAAUGCAGAAAUUGGAGGCAAACAGCGUUCUACUUGGACUGAUAUUUGUGGGAAUGAUUUUGAUGUGCUUGGUCGUGUUGGUGUACAAGCGAGACA